rnacentral:rRNA from 1 species
CGUGAGAUGUUGGGUUAAGUCCCGCAACGAGCGCAACCCCUACAUUUAGUUGCCAUCAUUAAGUUGGGCACUCUAAAGGAACUGCCGGUGACAAACCGGAGGAAGGUGGGGAUGACGUCAAAUCAUCAUGCCCCUUAUGUCCUGGGCUACACACGUGCUACAAUGGACGGUACAAAGGGUCGCGAAACCGUGAGGUGAAGCCAAUCCCAUAAAGCCGUUCUCAGUUCGGAUUGUAGUCUGCAACUCGACUACA